UACGUAGGGUGCGAGCGUUAAUCGGAAUUACUGGGCGUAAAGCGUGCGCAGGCGGUUUUGUAAGCCAGAUGUGAAAUCCCCGGGCUUAACCUGGGAACUGCAUUUGUGACUGCAUCGCUGGAGUGCGGCAGAGGGGGAUGGAAUUCCGCGUGUAGCAGUGAAAUGCGUAGAUAUGCGGAGGAACACCAAUGGCGAAGGCAAUCCCUGGGCCUGCACUGACGCUCAUGCACGAAAGCGUGGGGAGCAAACAGG
rnacentral:rRNA from 1 species